CUACGGGUUGCACCAGUGGGGAAUAUUGCACAAUGGGCGCAAGCCUGAUGCAGCCAUGCCGCGUGUAUGAAGAAGGCCUUCGGGUUGUAAAGUACUUUCAGCGGGGAGGAAGGGAGUAAAGUUAAUACCUUUGCUCAUUGACGUUACCCGCAGAAGAAGCACCGGCUAACUCCGUGCCAGCAGCCGCGGUAAUACGGAGGGUGCAAGCGUUAAUCGGAAUUACUGGGCGUAAAGCGCACGCAGGCGGUUUGUUAAGUCAGAUGUGAAAUCCCCGGGCUCAACCUGGGAACUGCAUCUGAUACUGGCAAGCUUGAGUCUCGUAGAGGGGGGUAGAAUUCCAGGUGUAGCGGUGAAAUGCGUAGAGAUCUGGAGGAGUACCGGUGGCGAAGGCGGCCCCCUGGACGAAGACUGACGCUCAGGUGCGAAAGCGUGGGGAGCAAACAGGAUUAGAUACCCCGGUAGUC
rnacentral:rRNA from 1 species